GAUUAUUUUAUUAAUUAUUCAACAAUUAAAACCUUGAUUUUCCUUCCUGUUAGAUCAUAUAAGCAAAAAAAUAAACUAAUUUUAACGUGCAAAAAGUGUAUUUACAGUGAGCAGCGCUAAAACACUUUUAUACAUACAGUGCAGUAAACAAUUCUCAUUAAAUUCCCCACUGUUUGUGACCCCAUGUUGUGUCUUUUGCACAUGACUCAAAGCAGCUCGAUAAUACCUGCAUCUUUCUAUGUGCUUCUAUAAAAAAAAUAGCUCUGGGUCUGUUUGGAUUUUAGCACAUUUAUUGGCAGCUUUAGUGCCAAAACAAUUUUGAAAAUCCUUUCAUUUCUCAAAUUGCAGGGGCACAAUCACACUCUGAAAACUUCCAGAAAGUUAGGAAUUAUGUCUAACUUUGUACAUAAUAACUGAUGUACAGUAGUAUUGAAUGAUACUUAUGAUUCCUGUAAAAUAUUACUGAACCAUUUCUUAUGCUUUACUUUAAGAUUGAUCAGCAUUUGGGAGCUUUUACUUUGGAAAUUCCCAUGAAGAUGCCAGGCUGCCUGUAGCCCCUUCCUGUGAAUCCACUAAAGUGAUAUUGAGCCUUAUUUGGGUGAAGUUAGCUUUAAAAAACCUACCAUGAGUGCAUUUUUCCCACUGAAGAGAGAAGGAGCAAAAGAAGAAGGAAUGAAUGACUAUUACAUGACAAGUGAAUCUAACACGUACUGCAGCUCAUCUUUUGAGACAGACUCAGAUGGAGAAGUGGAAUAAAAAGCAGCAGUGGAAACGGGUCAAACAACGACGGACGAGGAGCCGAUCACUUUCAAACUCUCACUCACCCCCAUCCGCUUCGCCCCUCCUCCCGUCUGACAGACGCCAAACACCGAGGCUCCCUCAUCGCUAUGACAGACCUCCAUCACUGUCAGGGACAUGAACAUCCUGAAGUGUCUGUGUUCCUCUGACUGGCUGAGGUGGAUGCAGACACUCUGAGGGUACUCAGAGCAGGUGGACUGUGUCGUUUUCCAGAAGAGUGAUGUGUGUGUGGGCAGGAACUACAGUGACUACAGGAUAUGUUUAAGUGAACAACAACAUUGGGUAAAACUCCCCCGGUCACACUGAGAGGCGCCUUAUGUGGUUCCAUGUUUCUGUCGAUGGUCGCAGGGAGUUUGGUCACCACACCAGAUGAAGCAGGUCAGCCCAUCUUACCGCGGGCGCACAUGCUACACUAUUCCAGCUGUUCGGCUCAGAUUCGGGGUGUGAAGCUGGGCGAUGCGGGCCGGUGUCACUUCAGGUUUGAGACAAACCGACCGCUGGGGAGAUGGACCUCACCUGACACCAUUACUCUGGAUGUAGCAGCUCGACUCUCCUGUCUAAACAUCAACGACUCUGGAAGCGGACAGCGAGGUUUCUGGUGCCUGGCUGGAGACGAGAUUCUGAUUCUUCAAGUGCCAAAACAAAAUGUCAGAAUAAAUAGUUAGAAGGCAGAUUUGUUUUCUCUUCAUAAUUGUUUUCAUUAUUAAUGGCCCAUAACACAAAAUCCAUCAGUGCUGUAACUCUGAGUUUAAUCAAAUGUUCUUCUUUCAA